rnacentral:rRNA from 1 species
AUUAUACUGCGAAACUGCGAAUGGCUCAUUAAAUCAGUUAUCGUUUAUUUGAUAGCACCUUACUACAUGGAUAACCGUGGUAAUUCUAGAGCUAAUACAUGCUAAAAACCCCGACUUCGGGAGGGGUGUAUUUAUUAGAUUAAAAACCAAUGCCCUCCGGGGCUCACUGGUGAUUCAUAAUAACUUCUCGAAUCGCACGGCCUUGCGCCGGCGAUGGUUCAUUCAAAUUUCUGCCCUAUCAACUUUCGACGGCUGGGUCUUGGCCAGCCAUGGUGACAACGGGUAACGGAGGGUUAGGGCUUGACCCCGGAGAAGGAGCCUGAGAGACGGCUACUACAUCCAAGGAAGGCAGCAGGCGCGCAAAUUACCCAAUGCCGACACGGCGAGGUAGUGACGAUAAAUACUGAUACAGGGCUCUUUUGGGUCUUGUAAUUGGAAUGAGUACAAUUUAAAUCCCUUAACGAGGAACAAUUGGAGGGCAAGUCUGGUGCCAGCAGCCGCGGUAAUUCCAGCUCCAAUAGCGUAUAUUAAAGUUGUUGAGGUUAAAAAGCUCGUAGUUGAACCUUGGGCCUGGCUGGCCGGUCCGCCUCACCGCGUGUACUGGUCCGGCCGGGCCUUUCCCUCUGGGGAGCCGCAUGCCCUUCACUGGGUGUGUCGGGGAACCAGGACUUUUACCGUGAAAAAAUCAGAUCGCUUAAAGAAGGCCUAUGCUCGAAUGCAUUAGCAUGGAAUAAUGAAAUAGGACGCGUGGUUCUAUUUUGUUGGUUUCUAGGACCGCCGUAAUGAUUAAUAGGGACAGUCGGGGGCAUCAGUAUUCAAUUGUCAGAGGUGAAAUUCUUGGAUUUAUUGAAGACUAACUACUGCGAAAGCAUUUGCCAAGGAUGUUUUCAUUAAUCAGGAACGAAAGUUAGGGGAUCGAAGACGAUCAGAUACCGUCGUAGUCUUAACCAUAAACUAUGCCGAUUAGGGAUCGGACGAUGUUAUUUUUUGACUCGUUCGGCACCUUACGAUAAAUCAAAAUGUUUGGG